AAAGGAUUAAAAACCUUGUUUACCCUAAUAUUUUUUCACUUUUCUUCUUCUCCGCCGUGUAGCUUCAAGCCUUCAACCCCUUUCAAUGGUGAUUUAGAUAUGAAUUCAGCGAAUUGGAGAUAUAUUCUUGGGUUUGUCGGACGGUCCUCUUCUCGGUUUCGCCGGAUGGUCUUCUUCUCUCACUACAAGUUUCGUCGGACGGUCCCUUCACAGUUUGAUGUAAGAUCUGGUCUAAACCACAUUGAAAAUCAGGCCUGGAAUCGGAAGGAUCGAUAAAUGGGUGUUACACAACGCCUUUGAUGAUGAGAAGAAUCCUUCUCUACCGAAGCACAUAUACAUGCAGAAGGAACAGUGAUGGAGUUGCACCUUAUGAAAAAGAUAAAGCCGAAGGUACCCGUCUUGAAAAGCUAUAGAAGCUGGCAGAGAAAACUGCAGAAGCCAUUGUUUGAGGAUGUACCUAAGUUUCUGGUGAUUUUCGAUAUGUUUUUAUGAAUAUGGAUUUUUCUUCUGUCACAAAGUUUCAGCAUUUCUUUUUUGUAUGAUGUAUCGUUCAACUGUGUUUAGUCUAAAUUUGUUUCAUUUCAGUUUUGACUUUUGAGGAAUUCAGUCUUGGGAAUUCAUACACCUCUCAGUU